rnacentral:rRNA from 1 species
UACGUAGGGCGCGAGCGUUGUCCGGAAUUAUGGGGCGUAAAGAGCUCGUAGGCGGCCUGUCGCGUCAAUUGUGAAAGCCCGGGGCUUAACCCCGGGUCUGCAGUCGAUACGGGCAGGCUAGAGUGUGGUAGGGGAGAUCGGAAUUCCUGGUGUAGCGGUGAAAUGCGCAGAUAUCAGGAGGAACACCGGUGGCGAAGGCGGAUCUCUGGGCCAUUACUGACGCUGAGGAGCGAAAGCGUGGGGAGCGAACAGG